CCAGUCUGUCCCCAGGAAGCUGUGCUUCUUCUUGAAAGGAGCUGUCAAAGGUGACAGGGCACAGCCAGUGGACCCCACGGGAAGGUGACAAGGCAGAGUGGACCCCAUGAAGGUGACAGGGCACAACGAGUGGACCCCACGGGAAGGUGACAAGGCAGAGUGGACCCCAUGAAGGUGACAGGGCACAACGAGUGGACCCCACAGGGAGGUGACAGGGCAGAGCGAGUGGACCCCACGGGGAGGUGACAGGGCAGAGCGAGUGGACCCCACGGGGAGGUGACAGGGCAGAGCGAGUGGACCCCACGGGGAGGUGACAGGGCAGAGCGAGUGGACCCCACGGGGAGGUGACAGGGCAGAGCGAGUGGACCCCAUGG